GACCUCAAAUCAGGUAGGGCUACCCGCUGAACUUAAGCAUAUCAAUAAGCGGAGGAAAAGAAACUAACAAGGAUUCCCCUAGUAACGGCGAGCGAACCGGGAUGAGCUCAAAUUUGAAAUCUGGCGCCCUCCGGACGUCCGAGUUGUAAUCUAUAGAAGCGUUUUCCGUGCCGGACCGUGUCCAAGUCCCUUGGAACAGGGUAUCAAAGAGGGUGACAAUCCCGUACUUGACACGACGACCGGCGCUCUGUGAUACGUUCUCUACGAGUCGAGUUGUUUGGGAAUGCAGCUCAAAACGGGUGGUAAAUUCCAUCUAAAGCUAAAUAUUGGCGAGAGACCGAUAGCGAACAAGUACCGUGAGGGAAAGAUGAAAAGCACUUU
rnacentral:rRNA from 1 species